AUCUAGUUGACGAGUGCCAAAUAGGACGAAACACUCACCCUAGAU
rnacentral:hammerhead_ribozyme from 1 species